rnacentral:rRNA from 1 species
AGUAAAUAGAUACCCGGGUAGUCCACGCCGUAAACGAUGAGCACUAGUUAUUGGGGGUAUUGACUCCCUCAGUGACGCAGCUAAACGCAUUAAGUGCUCCGCCUGGGGAGUACGGUCGCAAGACUAAAACUCAAACAAAUUGACGGGGGCCCGCACAAGCGGUGGAUUAUGUGGUUUAAAUUCGAAGCAACGCGCAGAACCUUACCUAGGCUUGAACUCCUACGAACCUCUUGUAAUGGAGAGGGUGUCCGCAAGGAAAUGUAGUGAGAGGUGCUGCAUGGCUGUCGUCAGCUCGUGUUGUGAAAUGUUGGGUUAAGUCUCGCAACGAGCGCAACCCCUAUCGUCUGUUGCCAGCAUUAAGUUGGGCACUCUGACGAGACUGCCUGGGUUAACCAGGAGGAAGGUGGGGAUGACGUCAAGUCCUCAUGGCCCUUAUGUCUAGGGCUACACACGUAAUACAAUGGCGCGUACAGAGGGAAGCGAACUAGCAAUAGGGAGCAAAAUCUCAAAAAGCGCGCCUCAGUUCGGAUUGGAGU